CCCUUGGUAGCUCAGUUGGAAGAGCGUGAGACUGUAAUUGAUAAGCUUGCCAUCUCAAGGUCAAUGGUUCGAACCCGUUCCGAGGGA
rnacentral:tRNA from 1 species